rnacentral:misc_RNA from 1 species
GAUGAAGAACGUAGCGAAAUGCGAUACGUAGUGUGAAUUGCAGAAUUCAGUGAAUCAUCGAAUCUUUGAACGCACAUUGCGCCCUUUGGUAUUCCAAAGGGCAUGCCUGUUCGAGCGUCAUUUGUACCCCCAAGCUUUGCUUGGUGUUGGGCGUCUUGUCUCCAGUCCGCUGGAGACUCGCCUUAAAGUCAUUGGCAGCCGGCCUACUGGUUUCGGAGCGCAGCACAAGUCGCACUCUUUUCCAGCCAAGGUCAGUGUCCAACAAGCCUUUUUUCAACUUUUGACCUCGGAUCAGGUAGGGAUACCCGCUGAACUUAAGCAUAUCAAUAAGCGGAGGA